UCUAAGAUGGCAGACUAGUGCCUUAGAUUUAAGACCUAAAUAUGUAAAUUUAUUUACUCUUAGAA
rnacentral:tRNA from 1 species